UCAGGGGACCCACGCUCAGUAAUGAUCCUUCCGCAGGUUCACCCUACGGAAG
rnacentral:rRNA from 1 species